UGCACUAACCAUUUUCAUUUCCCAAAUUCUCAUCUUAGUCUCUCCGUCUCUCAUCCCAAAUCCCAAAUUCUCAUCUCAGCCUCUCCGCCUCUCUCAUCCCAAAUCUCAAAUUUUUAGCCUCCGCCUCUCACUUCUCAGCCUAUCGCCUCUCAUCCCAAAGGUAUUGAAGGAGAACAUCCAAGGUAUCACCAGUCGCGCGCCAUCGAAAGUUUGGAGAGGGUCUAGAUUUGGUUAUGGCGACAAGAUGGUGUGGGUACGAAGCUGGAGGUGUGAUUGUAUUCCUACAUCUUGAUCAGAAAGGUGUGGUGCCUUUGCCUAGAGGAUUUAAUGGAUUUUGGUAGAUAGAGGCAUAUAACAGUAAGGCGAUGGAAGAUGACAAAUAUAAUCCCUGAUACUACAUCAUAUCACAUACACUUAGAUCUAGUAAAAUUUUUCUACUUUUUUUUCUUCAUUAUAUCCAUUUUUUGUGCUCAACUGAAAAACAAAAAUACUUGUAAUUUUGGAGUUGGUACUUAAAAAAGAUGUAUUUUGUUCAAUGGAUGCCUAAGUUUAGUUUUCUGCUUUAAUGGUGCUCUGUUUUGGAUUAACAUGGUAAAAUCCAAUCGAAAUUUUCAAUCUGUCAAGCAUGUGGGGAAACCUUCAUUUCAGUUAUUAACCGAAUAACAGAAUAAUAAAUUUGGUUAUCUACUAUUUCGGUUACCAGUUUGGAUAUCAAAAGUGUGUUAUUUUUUGUUAUAACCGAAUAAGCUAUUCGAUUCGGUUAUAACCGAAUUCUCGCCCCUAACCAUUAUAAAGCAUACUGGAAAGUUUUAGGAUUUGUUUUCCAAGGUUUUGUAGAUAACAAAGCCUGUCUGGGUCUGUUGCCGAAGUAGCGCGGCUGUGCCACUUCCAAGGGCAAAACCAGCGCGGCCACGCUGGUCUCCAGAAACUGAAAAUAAAUUGCUUUAUAUUCUAAGCUUUUGAGCAGCUGUAACAAAGUUAUAUAUGUGUAUUAG
rnacentral:lncRNA from 1 species